UACGGAGGGGGCUAGCGUUGUUCGGAAUUACUGGGCGUAAAGCGCACGUAGGCGGCUUUGUAAGUUAGAGGUGAAAGCCCAGGGCUUAACCCUGGAAUUGCCUUUAAGACUGCAUCGCUCGAAUUGUGGAGAGGUGAGUGGAAUUCCGAGUGUAGAGGUGAAAUUCGUAGAUAUUCGGAAGAACACCAGUGGCGAAGGCGACUCACUGGACACAUAUUGACGCUGAGGUGCGAAAAGCGUGGGGAGCAAACAGG
rnacentral:rRNA from 1 species